rnacentral:rRNA from 1 species
CCUACGGGGGGCAGCAGUAGGGAAUAUUGCUCAAUGGGGGAAACCCUGAAGCAGCAACGCCGCGUGGAGGAUGAAGGUUUUCGGAUUGUAAACUCCUUUUGUUAGAGAAGAUAAUGACGGUAUCUAACGAAUAAGCACCGGCUAACUCCGUGCCAGCAGCCGCGGUAAUCCGGAGGGUGCAAGCGUUACUCGGAAUCACUGGGCGUAAAGAGCGCGUAGGCGGGAUAGCAAGUCAGAUGUGAAAUCCUAUGGCUUAACCAUAGAACUGCAUUUGAAACUGUUAUUCUAGAGUAUGGGAGAGGUAGGUGGAAUUCUUGGUGUAGGGGGAAAAUCCGUAGAGAUCAAGAGGAAUACUCAUUGCGAAGGCGAGCUGCUAGAACAUAACUGACGCUGAUGCGCGAAAGCGUGGGGAGCAAACAGGAUGAGAUACCCUGGUAGUC